rnacentral:lncRNA from 1 species
GAAAACUGAAAUAAAAAUAAUAAAACUUCCUCACUUUAGGUUGUUUUUUUCAGGCAAGUAGAAGAAUACAAUGAAGAUUUUUUUGUUUGCUGGCUGAAAAAUCUUAACUGGACACAAGAAGUGGGGGGAAGAUUUUGCUGCAGAGGGGUGACCCAGAGCAGCUCGACACAGCGAGGACUGCGGGAGGUCUGGUGCUCAUCCCUGCUCCCCACCUGCCUGCUCAGGUAGCUUCCCUGGCAUCAGCACUGAGGAUGGUUUGACCUCACAGUGAUUCAAUUCAGAGAUUUAAAACUGGCAGGAACCUGAAUCCCGCCCCUCUCCUCGGUGGAAUAGUUUCCUGCUAGAUUUGCUUCCUGAAUUCACCCAUUUUCUUGUCAGAUGAACGGCAGUGACCCUGUGUUAGGCUGUAUAAUAGUGUUUCUGUUUUGAGACUUGUCCCUCUCCAGGAUUGCUGUCAGCCAGCACGACAACCAGGGAGUUCUGCUGGAGAAGUAUUUUGAGGAACUCCAUAAUGAAAGAGGUUAUCACCCAGGAGUUAUACCCAGCUUGUUUUUCAGCCCUGCAAAGGGAAGAUACUGUGCUGUGAACAAAGCAGUGAUGGCUCUUGGGUCCUCCCUGGGCGCGAGGAGAGCAGUGGAGCUGUUUUGGAUGGCACAUGUACAGGCUCUUGAUUCAUGGAGGUCUGGCCAGUCCCAGCCCCUUCUGAUGG